UGAGCACGAGAUGCUACGGCAUCGAAGCAGUCUAUGUCAUACUUCCAAGAAAAGCUUGCAAUGUCAUAAACAAAUAAUGCCUGUACCAUAACCGACACAGGUGGGUAGGUAGAGUAUACUAAGGGGCGCGAGAUAACUCUCUCUAAGGAACUCGGCAAAAUGACUCCGUAACUUCGGGAGAAGGAGUGCCUUAUUUUUAUAAGGUUGCAAUAACAAGAUCCAAGCAACUGUUUACCAAAAACACAGGUCUCCGCUAAGUCGUAAGACGAUGUAUGGGGGCUGACGCCUGCCCAGUGCCAGAAGGUUAAAGAAGUUGGUUAGCAUUAGCGAAGCUGAUAACUGAAGCCCUGGUGAACGGCGGCCGUAACAAUAACGGUCCUAAGGUAGCGAAAUUCCUUGUCGGGUAAGUUCCGACCCGCACGAAAGGCGUAAUGAUUUGGAUACUGUCUCGGAGAGGGGCUCGGUGAAAUAGACUUGUCUGUGAAGAUGCGGACUACCUGCACCUGGACAGAAAGACCCUAUGAAGCUUUACUGUAACUUGAGAUUGAAAUUGGACUUUAUCUGCGCAGUAUAGGUGGGAGACGUUGAAAAUAUUCUUGCGGGAAUAUUGGAGUCAUCAGUGAGAUACCACUCUUAUAAUGUUAGAUUUCUAACUUUGUAUCAUUAUCUGGUCAAAGAACAGUUUCAGGCGGGCAGUUUGACUGGGGCGGUCGCCUCCCAAACGGUAACGGAGGCGCACAAAGGUUUCCUCUGAACGUGUAGAAAUCGUAUCUAGAGUGUAAAGGCAUAAGGAAGCUUGACUGUGAGACCUACAAGUCGAGCAGGGACGAAAGUCGGUCUUAGUGAUCUGACGGUGCUGAGUGGAAAGGCCGUCACUCAACGGAUAAAAGUUACUCUAGGAUAACAGGCUGAUCUCCCCCAAGAGUUCACAUCGACGGGGAGGUUUGGCACCUCGAUGUCGGCUCAUCGCAUCCUGGGGCGGUAGUACGUCCCAAGGGUUGGGCUGUUCGCCCAUGAAAGCGGUACGCGAGCUGGGUUCAGAACGUCGUGAGACAGUUCGGUCCAUAUCCGGUGUAGGCGUUAGAAUAUUGAGAGGAGCCUUCUUUAGUACGAGAGGACCGAGAAGGACAUACCUCUGGUGUACCAGUUAUCGUGCCAACGGUAAACGCUGGGUAGCCAUGUAUGGAGAGGAUAACCGCUGAAAGCAUCUAAGUGGGAAGCCCACCUCAAGAUAAG
rnacentral:rRNA from 1 species